GUAUGUACUUGACCCGACCCGGCAUGGUCCAUUUGGGUUGCAUGGCACCAUGCAAUUGGAUAAACUAAAUGAGAGAAAUAACGCUUGGAGAUUAUUAAUAUAUUAUAAGUUCUAAUAUAUUAAUAAUAAUAUUAUUUGAUUAGUUUGAUCAAGAAUUAAUUUAGAAUUAAUUAAGUGAUCAAAAGAUAACUAAUUAAAUAUAUGGGUUGAUUAAGUAAAUCAUCCAUAUCUUGUAUAGUGGGCUAAAAGGCUCCAUGGAUCAUCAAGUUGGGUUCCACCCAUAGGAUGCUCCAUGGAUGCUCCAUGGGAGUUACAAACCCAUGGGUCAUGGAAAUGAAGAGUCAUGACACAUUAGGGUUUAACCCUAGAUGUGUCAACACUAUAUAAGUAAUAUGAUCUCCUCCCAAAUCGGUUACACACUAAGUAAUAAGGGGGCUUGGCCGAUUUUGAAGAGUGUGUAUUCUCUCAUAAGUUCUUCCAAGAGCAUUUGGUGUUGUGUGAAGCAUUUGAGGCAUCACCACUUGAGGUGCUAGGCUCACAAGGUUUCAAGGAACACAAGCAACAACAAGGUAAGUUAUUCUAUCUAUACUUUAUGUUAAAAUUGUUCCCCAUGUAUGCUAGAUAGGAUAUAACCUUGGAAUUCAACUUUGCAUGACAAAUUAGACAAACAUAGAUCCAAGGUUAUUAGGGUUGCAUGUACACUUAGGAAGUGUUAGAAUGCUCAAAACCCAUCAGUGGUAUCAGAGCCUAGGCUUGUUUGUUUGUUAUUUGUGCUUAAAAGUUGAAGAAAGUCGAAAAUCUUGCUGUCUGACUGAUGGACUCGGCGAGUCCAUGGGGAGGACUCGACGAGUUCAUGUGUAUCUUCAACCUACUCGGCGAGUAGGUUUAUGCACUCGGCGAGUAGGGUCGACAGAGUGCAGAAUUUCGACUUGUGUUGCUGGAAAUGGAUUAGAAUCAUUACCCUAAAAUGUUUUGGUACUUGAAAACUUAUUUUAGAAGGUGUAAUGUCUUUUCUAACUCAUUUACAACAACUAGUUAUCAAAAUUACAAAGAUUAAAUGUGAUUUUGAUUCUUGAAAGUGUUCAUAUUCAUAUUCUUGUUCUUAUGAUGUUUAGAUGAUCAUAGGAAUUAUUUGUAACCUAUGUGGUAGAUUAAUUCAUGAUCAUAAUGUGUUUUAAUGGAGUCCAUAACUUGUCCUCAAGUUAUGGAAAACCAAAAGUCUCUUGGAUUAAAAAACAUUAAAAGAACACAAGAGUUAGGAAAAAUGAAAAGUCCUCAUUUUAUUACUCUAUUAAACUCAUAAGUUACAAGAAAUGAAAAGUUUUGAAAGUUUACAAAACUUGCCCUCAAGUUUUGGAACAAGUAAAGUUAAGUUAAAACUUUAGUUCCAACCCCUAGAAUUUUAAAAGUUAAAAUUCAACCCUUAUACUUAUAUUAUUAUGAUUUAAUAAUUAUAUAUAUAUGUAUAAGAACAAAGUCGUCUUACCGCUAGUACGCCUCAUUCACGAAGCCGGUCUAUAAGGUGGGUAUAAGGUUGUUGCCUAUAAAAUGGUGACUUAAUGGGUGUCCACUCUCACCCACCGCUUGCUUGAUCGGUGGAGGGUCGUUAGCCGAACGGGUAAGACAAGGACUUAUUAAUUCUCAUUCAAAGUAUGAUGAAUAUUAUAAAGUAACUAAAUGUUUUAUUAAAUUCCCAAUCUUAGUUACUUUAGGAAAAAUGUGAAUAAGGUGCUAUUCCAUGAAAUUACACUUUACACUUUGAUUAAGUCGUUGGUGGAGCGUGUGUGGUUAACCGGCACACUAACUUGGACUUAACAAGGUAGGUAAAGGGUGACUUAGGGUUUAUUAUAGUAUCGAUGGAGCGUGUGUGGUUAACCGGCACAUCGAUUGAGUGAUAAACUUUAAGGGUACCAAGUGAUUUGCAUGGUUACUUCACACCUCGUUUUGUGAUCCUCGGUAUCCCAGUCACAAAACUUGGAGGGCACACUCGAGAUUGAAACAUGCCUUUGAAAAGUUCAUUGAAUCUCAAAGAAUCUAGGAAUUUCUAAGAACCAUUCAAAAACCUAAUACUAAAAUAUUGCGGUUUUCGUGGUGGAAAUUGGUGAAUCGUCAUUCACCUACCUUUCAAAUAUGAUAUAGCUUAGAUUACGGCAUACCUCUUCUAAGUUAUAUUAUAUUGUGAUUGGAUCCUAGCCUUAAUAUUACAUUUGGGUGUUUUAUUAAGGACUCUCUUAUAUCUAAACUAAUCUUGUCCUCUUUCCUUCAGAUGUCUUUCAACAAUGCUUCUGGCUCUAAUCCUAAUGGCUCCUUUACCCUUAUGAACUUGUGUGGGAAAGUCACCUUUGAUGGAUCCAACUUCAAUGAGUGGAUCAGAAACAUCAGGAUGAUUACCCGCUACGAGGACAAAGAAUAUGUCCUUGACAAGGAGCUUAAGGAGAUUGAUGAGUCCACUGCAACUCCUCAGGAGAUCGCUGAAUUUCGGGCACAUGAAAGGGAUGCUACGAAAGUGGCUUGCAUCAUGAUGGCCACGAUGACAGCGGAACUCCAAAAGUCUUAUGAGGAUUUCUACCCUUAUGAAAUGCACCAAGAUUUGAUGGAAAGAUACCAUCAAAGUGCAAGACAAGAGAGGUAUGAAAUCAUCUGCUCCAUGAUAACAACCAUGAUGAAGGACGGGGAAUCCGUCACGAGCCACAUGCAGAAAAUGCAAAGGUAUGUGGAUCGUUUGCUGAAGCUUAAUGUGAACUUCCCGGAGGAUCUUGCAAUAGAUAUUAUUUUGCAUUCCUUACCAUCGUGCUAUGAUCAAUUCCGCAUGACAUAUCACAUGAACAAGGAAGAAGUCACCCUCAGCAAACUUCAGGGACUUCUCAAGACCGCAGAAUCAGGUCUUAAGGGGAAGUCGGUUGCUAUCACUCCUACUCAAAACUCUACUCCGGUUUUGGCAAUCGGGAAAAGUCGAGGGAGGAAGAGAAAGAGCUCUUCUAAGGGUACCAAGGUUCGGACCCUUGAUGGCUCUUCUUCAAGUGGAACCAAGAAAGGUUUCAUUACUCCUUCUUCUGACCCAAAAGAGGCUGAAUGCUUCUAUUGCCAUGAAAAAGCUCAUUGGAAGCGGAACUGCCCAAAAUACCAGCAAGAUGUGAAGGAUGGGAAAGUUAAACCCAACCAUGCAGGUAUUUACACUAUCAUUUCUAAUAACUCACCCCAUUCUAAUUCUUGGGUCCUUGAUACCGGGUGUGGUAUUCACAUUUGUUGUGACUUGCAGGGACUAAGAAGAAGUGAGGAUGUGGAGCAAGGAAGGAUAAACUUGAUCAUGGGGAAUAGGAAAGCUAUACCUGUUACCAAGAUUGGAGUUUAUACUUUAUCGCUAAGUAGUGGGUUUAGUUUAGAUUUGAAUAAGUGUUGUUAUUCGCCAGGAAUGGCAAGAAAUAUUAUUUCCUUUCAUGCUUUGUACAAACAAGGGUUUACCUUUUCAUUUAAUAAUGAAGUUGGUUCUAUAGAUGUUUUCUAUAAUAAUGUCUUUUAUUUUAAAGCAUUACCUUGUGAUGGUGUGUAUGAAGCUGUAUCUGUUGUAGAUAACUUGGGAAAUAAUGUUUUGUGUAUUGAUUCUACUAAUAAUAACUUGGAUAAAGCAUCUUUAUGGCAUUGUCGUCUUGGACAUAUAAGCAAGAAACGCAUAGGCCAACUCCAAAAGGAUGGAGUCUUGGAGUCGUUUGACCUAAAGUCAGAUGAUAGUUGCGAAUCAUGCUUACUUGGAAAAAUGACAAAGUCACCCUUCACAGGUUCGUGUGAGAGGGGUGAAGGUUUGUUGGACCUUAUACACACGGAUGUGUGUGGACCAUUCAAACAUGCCACAAGGGAUGCUAAUCGUUAUUAUUUGACUUUUACUGAUGAUUAUAGUAGAUAUGGAUAUGUCUACUUGAUCAAGCAUAAGUCAGAGACUUUCGAGAGGUUUAAGGAAUUUAAACAGGAAGUCGAGAAUCAAUUGGGCAGGAACAUUAAGAUGCUUCGAUCCGAUCGUGGUGGUGAGUAUCUUAGUUCAGAGUUCCUCGACUAUCUAAGGGAAUGUGGGAUAGUCUCACAAUUGACACCUCCCAGGACACCACAGUUGAAUGGUGUGGCUGAGAGGCGUAAUCGAACCUUGUUAGAUAUGGUUCGUUCCAUGAUGAGUCGAGCUACGCUACCAAUCUCAUUCUGGGGGUAUGCCUUAGAGACUGCCGCCCAUAUUCUUAAUCUAGUCCCUACAAAGAAAGUUGCCAAAACUCCUCACGAGAUGUGGACUGGUAAAGUACCUAAACUAGACCACAUCAAGAUUUGGGGUUGCGAGGCUUUCGUGAGACGCGAGACUCAUGAUAAGCUCGAACCUCGAAGCGAGAGGUGUAUUUUCAUCGGUUACCCACAGCGAUCCUUUGGUUACCUCUUCUACAGACCUAGUGACAAUGUGGUCUUUGUAGCAAGAAGAGGAGUCUUUCGAGAAAGAGAGUUUAUAAGCCAAGGAGACAGUGGGAGGCAAAUUGAUCUUGAAGAAAUUCAAGAAUCAAGCGGUGAAGGAACUUCAAACUCUAGCCCUCAACUUGAGGAGGAAACUCCUGUUGAGCCAAUUGACAAAUCUGUACCUCUGAGACGUUCCACGAGAGUUAGGAGUGCACCUGAGCAUUACUAUGGAUUCCAUAUUACUGCAGAAGGUGAGACACUUAUUAGUGAUGAGACACUAGUAAGUCAAGAUGACCCUAACAGCUACGAGGAAGCCAUGGCAGGCCCCGAGUCUGCUAAAUGGAAAGAGGCUAUGGAUAGCGAGAUACAAUCCAUGUAUGACAAUCAAGUUUGGAACUUGGUUGAAAAUGUACCAGGUCGUAAGACAGUAGGGUGCAAAUGGGUCUUCAAGAAGAAGACCGACAUGGAUGGUAAAGUACACACUUAUAAGGCUAGACUGGUUGCAAAGGGCUUCUCUCAAAUUCCUGGAGUGGAUUAUGAUGAGACCUUUUCUCCGGUAGCCAAGAUUAAGUCUAUUCGGGUUCUGUUAGCCAUAGCUGCAUUUCAUGACUAUGAAAUAUGGCAGAUGGAUGUCAAAACCGCUUUCCUUAAUGGAAAGUUGGCUGAAGAUGUUUACAUGAGUCAGCCAGAGGGUUUUGUCAGCAACGAGUACCCUAAUAGAGUGUGUAAGCUUGAGAAAUCCAUUUAUGGAUUGAAGCAAGCACCUCGCAGAUGGAAUCUUUGCUUUGAUGAAAAGGUCAAGGAAUUUGGCUUUUCUAGGAGUGAAGAUGAAUCUUGUGUGUAUGUCAAGGCUAGUGGGAGUAUAGUUAGCUUUUUGGUAUUGUAUGUGGAUGACAUACUACUCAUAGGAAACGACAUUCCAACCCUGCAGGAAGUAAAGUCCUGGCUUGGGAAGUGUUUCGCUAUGAAGGACCUUGGUGAAGCUGCCUAUAUUCUAGGGAUAAGAAUCUUGAGAGAUCGGAGUAAAAGACUAAUUGGACUUAGUCAGAGUACCUACUUGGAUAAGGUGCUGAAGAGAUUCAGCAUGCAGGAUUCCAAGAAAGGAGAGUUACCCAUCCAGAGUAACACCAGAUUGAGUAAGACACAAAGCCCUAGCACUGAGGCUGAGAUAGCAGAAAUGAGUCGAACACCUUACGCUUCGGCUGUAGGAUCGAUCAUGUAUGCUAUGACGUGUACUCGACCCGAUGUAGCUUUUGCCUUGAGCAUGGUUAGCAGGUAUCAGGCGAACCCUGGCAAGGCACACUGGACUGCGGUAAAGAAUAUCCUCAAGUACCUACGGAGGACUAAGGACUGGGUCCUUACCCUCGGUGGGAGUGAUGACUUGAGAGUUGUAGGGUAUAGUGAUGCUAGCUUCCAGACUGAUAGGGAUAAUUUCCGCUCUCAGUCGGGCUGGGUCUUUACCCUAAACGGAGGAGCAAUUUCUUGGAAGAGUUCCAAGCAAGAGACAGUGGCAGAUUCUACUUGUGAAUCAGAGUAUAUUGCAGCUAGCGAAGCAGCAAAGGAGGCGAUAUGGCUGAAGAACUUCAUUGGAGACCUUGGAGUUGUACCAGCUAUUAAAGAGCCAAUGGAAAUUUUCUGUGAUAGUGAAAGUGCUGUUGCCUUAGCCAAGGAACCAAGGGAUCAUGGGAGAUCCAGACACAUCGACAGAAAAUACCAUUUCAUUAGACAUCGGAUCGAAGAAGGACUCCUCGUGGCAAAGAGGGUAUCAUCGGAUGAGAACCCAGCAGAUCCCCUCACGAAGGGACUGAGUAGGGUUAAGCAUCUCCAGCAUGCUCGGAGCAUAGGGCUGAAGGAUGAUAUAAGUUUUAGUAGUUAGAUAACCCAGAAAUUUGUAAAGUGUAAUUGACAUUUGAUGAUGAAUAAAAGGUGUUUUAUUUAUGAGUAAAGUGUUGCUAUCUCUUGUCAAUCGUUUACUAUAUUUCUUUUGCAUGUUUUGACUUCCAGAAUAAUUUUGUUUGGUGUAACAUAUUAUUCAAACCUCCACAGUCGGUCAUAUGUCGGAAGUAGGUAUGAAUCAAGACUGUCAUGAUGGGUUGUAGAGGUCUAAGGUGUUGGACAAGGCUACAACAAUCAUGAGUGCUCAUAAGUUCUGAGCAUUGGACUCAACCCACGCUCACUGGAAUCACUUCAUGGAAUUCUAUCUCGAGUGAUCGUGAGACGGUAAUAUCAUAUAAGUCUUCAAACCUAGAGAUAUGAUUUGUUACUUACAAGUUGGUUAUGCAUUGACUGUACGAAACCGCAUUGGUAACUCGAUGUUAUAAAACGUACUUUUGUGUGUAAUUCAAUGAGUGGUAGAACAAACAUAUGAGUCGAAGUUUAUCUGUUCCUUCUUGGAUUAGAAGCUGAUAUCUGGGCCCCUCGAUGAUUUUGUUUUGACCCAUGUACCGGGCCCGGUCAGAACUAAGUUGAUGUGUUCAAUUAAGUUCUAUGUCAAACAAAUCGGAAAUCGGGAAACAAAUGCUGGACAAUAAGCAAGACAAUGUUCCAUGUAUUUGUCCGGCUGAUAUCUAGAACGGAGGAUUAUAUGAUCACUUAUCUUAAAUGGCGUACCAUCAUCUUCUCAGUUCCGAGAGACCUUGAAAGAGCUACGAUUGCCGGUCGGUUCCUGAAGUACUAGAGAUAUAGUUAUUAGACUUAUCCAAGUGGGAGACUGUUGGAUAAGGUGUCUAAGUCCAUAACUAUUUCUGGUAUGUACUUGACCCGACCCGGCAUGGUCCAUUUGGGUUGCAUGGCACCAUGCAAUUGGAUAAACUAAAUGAGAGAAAUAACGCUUGGAGAUUAUUAAUAUAUUAUAAGUUCUAAUAUAUUAAUAAUAUUAUUUGAUUAGUUUGAUCAAGAAUUAAUUUAGAAUUAAUUAAGUGAUCAAAAGAUAACUAAUUAAAUAUAUGGGUUGAUUAAGUAAAUCAUCCAUAUCUUGUAUAGUGGGCUAAAAGGCUCCAUGGAUCAUCAAGUUGGGUUCCACCCAUAGGAUGCUCCAUGGAUGCUCCAUGGGAGUUACAAACCCAUGGGUCAUGGAAAUGAAGAGUCAUGACACAUUAGGGUUUAACCCUAGAUGUGUCAACACUAUAUAAGGAAUAUGAUCUCCUCCCAAAUCGGUUACACACUAAGUAAUAAGGGGGCUUGGCCAAUUUUGAAGAGUGUGUAUUCUCUCAUAAGUUCUUCCAAUAGCAUUUGGUGUUGUGUGAAGCAUUUGAGGCAUCACCACUUGAGGUGCUAGGCUCACAAGGUUUCAAAGAACACAAGCAACAGCAAGGUAAGUUAUUCUAUCUAUAAUUUAUGUUUAAAUUGUUCCCCAUGUAUGCUAGAUAGGAAUAUAACCUUGGAAAUCAACUUUGCAUGACAAAUUAGACAAACAUAGAUCCAAGGUUAUUAGGGUUGCAUGUACACUUAGGAAGUGUUAGAAUGCUCAAAACCCUUCACUAGGCAUAUGUGUAGGG
rnacentral:lncRNA from 1 species